GGAUGUGAAGGCGAUCUGGCUGCAACAUCUGUCACCCCAUUGAUUGCCAGGCUUGAUACAGCUGAUCUGGCUGGCUAGGCGGGUGUCCCCUUCCUCCCUCACUGCUCCAUGUACGUUCUCCCGAAGCUGUGUCCUGGGUUGAAGAGGACUGCCUUCCCAGAAUAGAGAUGGACCAGUCUUGGUCUUCAGUUGAGGGUGUACGAGUAGCUGCGCUCCCCUGCUAGAACCUCCAAACAAGCUCUCAAGAAGUUUUCAGGGACCAGGUGGUGACACACCUGGUUAAGAGCGUACAUUAUAGUGCUCAAGUACCCAGGUUCAAGUCCCUGGUCCCCACCUGCAGGGGGUAAAG
rfam:Erinaceus europaeus unplaced genomic scaffold scaffold00152, whole genome shotgun sequence